UACGAAGGGGGCUAGCGUUGUUCGGAAUUACUGGGCGUAAAGCGCACGUAGGCGGAUACUUAAGUCAGGGGUGAAAUCCCGGGGCUCAACCCCGGAACUGCCUUUGAUACUGGGGAUCUCGAGUCCGGAAGAGGUUGGUGGAACUGCGAGUGUAGAGGUGAAAUUCGUAGAUAUUCGCAAGAACACCAGUGGCGAAGGCGGCGACCUGGUCCUUGACUGACGCUGAGGCGCGAAAGCGUGGGGAGCAAACAGG
rnacentral:rRNA from 1 species